rnacentral:sRNA from 1 species
CUCUUUCUCAAUAUCACGGAUCUGUGCCCAGCAGUCCCCUGUUCGUAGGGUUGAUCGCUGCGGCAGCUCGUACACUUUAGGAGCCAUCAAUUUACCAUGAUGUCAAUCUUCCAGUCGACAGAUCCCAGAGUGACCGGUGUUUGCGCUCCCAAGAUCGCCGUAAAAAGCUGAGCUUGGUGAACGCAGACUGUCCCGGAGACGCCAUAUUCCACACCCCUUUUCCGAGAUCGUCGGUCGAUGAGGUUGGGGAAAACCAUGGUUUUGCCUACAGCC